rnacentral:rRNA from 1 species
AAAGCCUGUCUCAGUUCGGAUUGGAGUCUGCAACCCGACUCCAUGAAGCUGGAUUCGCUAGUAAUCGCGCAUCAGCCACGGCGCGGUGAAUACGUUCCCGGGCCUUGUACACACCGCCCGUCAAGCCAUGGAAGCCGGGGGUGCCUGAAGUGCGCUGCCGCAAGGAGCGCCCUAGGGUAAAACCGGUGACUGGGGCUAAGUCGUAACAAGGUACC